rnacentral:rRNA from 1 species
GACGAACGCUGGCGGCGUGCUUAACACAUGCAAGUCGAACGAAGUGGCGAACGGGUGAGUAAUACGUGAGUAACCUGCCCUCCUUUUUGGGAUAAACCUUGGAAACGGGGUCUAAUACCGAAUAAAGGGGGAUGGGCUCGCGGCCUAUCAGCUUGUUGGUGGGGUGAUGGCCUACCAAGGCGGUGACGGUUAGCCGGCCUGAGAGGGUGACAGGCGACAUUGGGACUGGGCCACGGUCCAGACGAAUGCGGGAGGGAGGAGUGGGGGACAGUGCACAAUGGGCUGAAGCAGGCUGCAGGGACGUCGCGUGGGGGAUGAAGGGUUGUGUGUUGGAAACCGCGGGGGCGAUCGAACGGGUAGGUGGAGAAGAAGCGCCGGCUAACUACGUGCCAGCAGCCGCGGUAAUAC